CUGAAACACCAAUUCUCCUACGAUCACCUAAAUUAAGCAACGUCGAGCCUGGUCAGUACCUAGAUGGGUGAUCGAUUGGGAAUACCGGGUGCUGUAAG